rnacentral:rRNA from 1 species
CAGCCGCCACGGUAAUACGGAGGGGGCUAGCGUUGUUCGGAAUUACUGGGCGUAAAGCGCACGUAGGCGGCUUUGUAAGUUAGAGGUGAAAGCCUGGGGCUCAACUCCAGAAUUGCCUUUAAGACUGCAUCGCUUGAACGUCGGAGAGGUGAGUGGAAUUCCGAGUGUAGAGGUGAAAUUCGUAGAUAUUGGGAAGAACACCAGUGGCGAAGGCGGCUCACUGGACCGACACUGACGCUGAGGCGCGAAAGCGUGGGGAGCAAACAGGAUUAGAUACCCGAGUAGUCCCUGUCUCUUAUAC